GUAAUUGUUCUCUGAGAGACUGCACCCAGCAGCUGAUGGAAACAGAUGCAGAGAUCCACAGUCAAACAUUAGAUGAAGCUCGGGAGUCUUGUGGAAGAUCUGGAGAGAGGAUUGAGUGACUUUUCAAGUUGCAUUGAUGAAGCUGAUACUGCAGUCUCACCUCUGGCCUGAGCUUCGGGAGAAACAGAACAUACUGUAUACUAUAACAUCACCUAUGAGAAGGCCUCACUGGAAUCUCUCCAGAUAGACUGGUGAUUUAAGAACUAGGAUCAUCCAACUCACUGGGCCAGAGUCCAUCAAUGUUGGGUGAGGGACAACUGGGAAGGUGAACAACUGAAGUCUUGCCAGCUACUUUUCUCUUCACCUACUUUACUCUCUUCACACUGCUGAGCAAAGUUGAUGCCUCAACUCUCUUAACACUCCUUGAUGGAGGAGAAAGAGACAAAGAAAGCUGAGCUCUCAGCUUAUGGAUCCCCAGUGAAGACAGAGUCAUGUAGGACUUCUCCCACAAAUGUCAAGCAGGAGUAUUACGUUUCAUUUGAGAGUGGAAAUAAGGAAUCAUGAUCUCCUAAGAUGUAUAUACUAUACCCUGGUUGCCUUGUGCUACAACUAGAGAUUGCUCACUGCUUUUCUAUAGGAGAGUGUCAUGGGACAAUGUCACACAUUCACCACGGGAAGCUUCAAAAAUGCUGUUGAAUAAAAUUUAAUUCUCCCAACUCCAUGCACAGCUUUUAACCAUAUUCAAACUAUUCAGAAUUAGGUCAGAUUCAUCUUCCUAAAGCAGAACGAUCUUCAUGUCAUUUCUCUGCUAGAAUUUUCUUAAUAUUCCCUUACUGUCCAUAUAAUUAUAUCUGAGCCAGGAGGACUAGGAUGGAAAAGUCAACUGGAUUUACUUGGACCCGAUUUUUCCUGUUUUUUUUUUUUUUUUCUGCCUCUGCCUCAAACAUUUCAUCUUUCACUGCCCAUAGGCUUCGUGCACCCUUUGAACAAUUGUUUCAUAGCUUUUCCUACAUGCUGUCAUUAUAAAGUCAUGUUUGCACCAG
rnacentral:lncRNA from 1 species